ACUUUAUAAAUUAUUUAAAUUUGGUUAAUUUAUUAAUAAAAAUCAAGUUUAAUUAUUUUAUUUUAUUGGGGUGAUAUGAGUAUAAUUAUUAUUAACUGCUUAAAUAAAAUACUAUAAUUAGAGAAUUAAGUGUUAAUGAUCCUUAAUUUUAAGAUUAAAAGAACAAGUU
rnacentral:rRNA from 1 species